GGUUCAAGUCCCCUCUAUCCCCA
rnacentral:tRNA from 1 species